rnacentral:snRNA from 1 species
AGCUUUGCACAGUGGCAAUAUCGUAGCCAGUGUGAUUUAUCCAAGGCACGAUUAUUGCUAAUUGAAAACUUUUUCCGGUACCCC